GAUGAACGCUGGCGGCGUGCCUAACACAUGCCAGUCGAGCGAAAGGACGCGGAGCUUGCUUUUCUGACGUUAGCGGAGCACGGGUGAGUCACGCGUGUAUACCCUACCUAUAAGACUGGGAUCAUCUGGGGACACCGGAGCUAACAGCGUAUAAUAUCUUGAACCGCAUGGUUCAAUGGUGAAAUACGGUCGUGCUGUCACUUAUAGCUGGAUCCGGGCUGCAUUAGCUAGUUGUUAGGGUAACGGCUUACUAAGGCUACGAUGCGUAGACGACGGGAGGGGGUGAUAGGCCACAUGGGAAGUGAGCCGCGGUCCAGGCGCCUACGGGAGGGAGCAGUAGGGAAUGUGCGGCAGUGGGCGAAAGCAUGACGGAGCAGCGGGGCGUGAGUGAUGAAGGUCUUCGGAUCGUAAAGAUCUGUUAUGGGGGAAGAACAUAUGUGGAAGUAACUGUGGACAUCUUGACGGUACCUAAUCAGAAAGCCACGGCUAACUACGUG
rnacentral:rRNA from 1 species